UACGGAGGGGGCUAGCGUUGUUCGGAAUUACUGGGCGUAAAGCGCGCGUAGGCGGCUUUGUAAGUUAGAGGUGAAAGCCCGGAGCUCAACUCCGGAACUGCCUUUAAGACUGCAUCGCUAGAAUUGUGGAGAGGUAAGUGGAAUUCCGAGUGUAGAGGUGAAAUUCGUAGAUAUUCGGAAGAACACCAGUGGCGAAGGCGACUUACUGGACACAUAUUGACGCUGAGGUGCGAAAGCGUGGGGAGCGAACAGG
rnacentral:rRNA from 1 species